UUAAUUUUUUAUGUAAGUGGCCCUUGUUUUUAGAUUGGACUAUAUUUCAUCAUUUUGGAACAGGAAUUGUAUAUAUACAUAUGUAUCCUGAUAUGAUGACAUAUAUUGAUUAUAUUAGAAAAGAUAGUAUGUGUUACAUGCAGUAAGUUAACAUUUACAUAAAAUAUAGUUGUUGUAACACCCAGAAAUUAAUCUGCAUACAGAGAGGAAAUUAUUAACUUAGAAAUAGAUAAAUUAAUCAAAUUAUUAAUUUUAAAUAUUUGUCUUAAUAUUUGAACAAAUUUUCAAUAUUAAAGCAAAUAUCCCAUUUCAUCAUUCAUGUAGUUGCCAAAAAUACUUAGCAUUCCAUUGUUAUUCCUGACUGAUGUGCAAUUUUAAUUCACCUUUUGAAAAAUAGAUAUAAAUAAAUAGAUAGAUAUAAAACAAUUUCCUCUAUUAAUCCUUCAACUAAUAUCUAACUUCAAAUGAUUCAUCAAGAAUAUUGUGUAUUCUGUAUGAGCAUCUGUUCAAAAAGGGGAGAGAAUUUGUAGCCAGCAUAUAGUAACUACCAUGUUUCUUCAAAAACACGACCCACCCCAAUAAUAAGCCCAACCCUAAUUUUGGGGAGGUGGGCCUAGUAUUACCCCACCCUGAAAAUAAGCCGGGAUGGGCGUGGCCAGCACAAGUAGCGGUGUGGGCACCGGGGAGGCGGGGGGGCAACUGUCUGCCUGCAACUGCUGCCCACUGGCCCCUUGGGCCAGCAUAAAUAGUACUUUUGCCCUUCUCUUUCUGGGUACAGCGCUUCUGCUUAAUAGGCCGCUUCCCCAAAGCCAGCAGCUCCGCGAUCAGCUACUUAGCUUUUUUCCUCUUUUUGGGAGGCUUGCAGGAGGUAUUUGGCAAACGGGAGGAAAAUAGGGAGGUGGAUUUCCUUUCUUGUCAUCCAUUCCCCAAGCUCAGCACAGACUGAGGGAAGGAUGACAGGCAGGAAAAUCCCCCUCCCCAUUUUCCUCCCGUUCUCCAAAAGCCUUCAUUCCAAACACUGACGGUUCAGAAUGGAGGUGCAGCCACAGCACGUCCAGCUCACCGAAUCUGGCCUGUUGUUCCUCAAAAAAAGACCACCUCGAAAAUAAGCCCAAACACGAUAUUAGUAUAAUCAAACUGUGCUCAUGGUUGUCAAUUGUAAAGGAUAUGUUUCCACAUGUGAAGCGCUUGAUAAUUAUUGUAAAAGUAAUAUUAAAAAAAUAACAUAACUGGAACAUAUUUUUAUUCAGAAGUAACCACCAAUCACAUUCUUUCCAAGACGAGCAUACACAGCACAAUAAUUUCAAUUAUACAAAGUUUGUGAGAUAUUAAAAUAGGGGUACAGGUAUAAAAAGUAUUUUCCACCUGAAUUUUGUUCAUGUGAUGUGGGAACAUUGCAGCAGCCUCAACUUCAGUUAGUGGUCACAAGUCCUUUGUUCAGUGCCGUCAUAAUUUUGAACGGUUACUAUAUAAACGUUCAAAGGACGACCUGUAUUAGUUAUUGAGAAACCUAUCCACUGAAUCACAUUUUUGGUCCCCAAAAAUACCUGAAAUGCUCUUCUGUUGUGAAAAUGAAUAGGUAGAGGGCACUAGUAAUUUAUUUCCUGCAUACCACCAGCCAGCAAAUGUUCAAACAGCUAUAGAAAAAUACCCAGAGAUACUUUUCAAAAGGUAAUCAGACUUUCUUGUUUUUUUUCUUUGAAAACGUUUUGCUUCUAAUCCAAAAAGCUCUUCAGUUCUAAAGGAGAAUGAGAAGCAAAAUAUUUUUAAAGAAAAAAAACAAGAACGUUUGGUUGCCUUUUGGCAACCAUGAUCUGGAUGAUUGAGAAUCUCCCUAGACAUAUAGCAAAAUACUUUUCUGUCUGUGUUAUUAAUGUGCAUGGUUAUUUAUGUUUCAGAAUAGCAUAUUUCCUGUCCUAUUAAUGUAGAUUGCCUUUGAUAUAUUUUGGUUUCAGGAGCUCAAAUGCCUAAUAUUAUCUUAGAUGUUCAGCCAGGAGGCAGCCAUUGUUCUCCAACGUAUGAGGAUUCCUUAAAACAGGUUGCAACACAACUAGCAUUUCUAUAUAGUGAGGUUGGACUUGACAAGCAGGAGUAAAGCCAGGCUGGAAUUUUUGUCCUUUUUGCAAAAGAAAGGAAAACGAUUCAGCUAAAUAUUACCUGCCGAAGUGACUUCUUGAGAACUUUUUAACUUAUUUUGGAAACUAAAUUUAUCCGGUGUUUGCCUGAAGAAAAGACAAGACACUUCUCCAAGUUCAGACGGUUUUGUUCACCUCAAUAAAAUUAUUGUUUGUUUGAA